rnacentral:tRNA from 1 species
UGGAUAGUAGCCAAGCGGUAAGGCACCAGAUUUUGAUUCUGGUAUGCGAUGGUUCGAAUCCACCCUAUCCAGCCA